rnacentral:rRNA from 1 species
AUACGUAGGGGGCGAGCGUUGUUCGGAAUUAUUGGGCGUAAAGGGCAUGUAGGCGGUUUGGUAAGCCUGAUGUGAAAUCCUGCAGCUUAACUGUAGAACUGCAUUGGGUACUGCUGAACUUGAAUCACUGAGGGGAAACUAGAAUUCCAGGUGUAGGGGUGGAAUCUGUAGAUAUCUGGAAGAAUACCGGUGGCGAAGGCGGGUUUCUGGCAGAUGAUUGACGCUGAGGUGCGAAAGUGCGGGGAGCGAACAGGAUUAGAUACCCUGGUAGUCCGCACCGUAAACGAUGUACACUAGGUGUCGGGGCAUGAGUCUCGGUGCCAAAGCUAACGUAAUAAGUGUACCGCCUGGGAAGUAUGCCCGCAAGGGUGAAACUCAAAGGAAUUGACGGGG